CUUGGUCAUUUAGAGGAAGUAAAAGUCGUAACAAGGUUUCCGUAGGUGAACCUGCGGAAGGAUCAUUAUCCAUCUCAAACCAGCUGCGGUCGCGGCCCCCGAUAACACGGGUGGUAGGGGUAACGCCCUCACGCGCCGCACGUCUGAAUCCUUUUUUUACGAGCACCUUUCGUUCUCCUUCGGUGGGGCAACCUGCCGUUGGAACAAACAAAACCUUUUUUGCAUCUAGCAUUACCUGUUCUGAUACAAACAAUCGUUACAACUUUCAACAAUGGAUCUCUUGGCUCUGGCAUCGAUGAAGAACGCAGCGAAAUGCGAUAAGUAGUGUGAAUUGCAGAAUUCAGUGAAUCAUCGAAUCUUUGAACGCACAUUGCGCCCCUUGGUAUUCCAUGGGGCAUGCCUGUUCGAGCGUCAUCUACACCCUCAAGCUCUGCUUGGUGUUGGGCGUCUGUCCCGCCUCUGCGCGCGGACUCGCCCCAAAUUCAUUGGCAGCGGUCCUUGCCUCCUCUCGCGCAGCACAUUGCGUUUCUUGAGGGGCGCGGGUCGCGUCCACGAAGCAACAUUUUAGUCUUUGACCUCGGAUCAGGUAGGGAUACCCGCUGAACUUAAGCAUAUCAAUAAGCGGAGGAA
rnacentral:rRNA from 1 species